rnacentral:lncRNA from 1 species
UAGGGUAGUUCUGAGGGGAGAAAAGGGAGCUGUGAAGUUGUUCAAAUAAGUUGUCUGGUCGAAAUCUUAUGUCUAAUGUACAUAUAGUUCUACACGCUCUUCAUCUUUAAGUAAACCCGUUCAAAAACUCUUUCAGGGAUUUGUAGAUACUCUUUUACAAUGCCAAGUAUCAUCUGUUCAACUUACCUAUUGGAUUUAUUGCCAAUUUGUUGUCGUUCUGAAUAUGCAUGAAAUAUUUGCUACUGGAUAUUCAGCUAACAAUUAUAAAGUAAUUUUUAUUUUGGAAUAUUUAAGGCACAUGAACCAACGAACAUAGUUCACUUGUUUGUGUUAAUA